UACGAAGGGGGCUAGCGUUGUUCGGAAUUACUGGGCGUAAAGCGCACGUAGGCGGACUAUUAAGUCAGGGGUGAAAUCCUGGAGCUCAACUCCAGAACUGCCUUUGAUACUGGCUGUCUUGAGUUCGGGAGAGGUGAGUGGAAUGCCGAGUGUAGAGGUGAAAUUCGUAGAUAUUCGGCGGAACACCAGUGGCGAAGGCGACUCACUGGCCCGAUACUGACGCUGAGGCGCGAAAGCGUGGGGAGCAAACAGGG
rnacentral:rRNA from 1 species